AAGGGAGAAUAUCCCCAGCCCCAUUUCAAGCUGUCAUCAUGAGCAGUAGUGGAGGAGUAGAUUUGCCAAACGGCUGUCAGAGCUGACACCAGGCAGUGUCAGCAGCGGGGCCCAAGCUACCUUUGGUGGAGUGACUUUGCUCUUGCUCAACUCCUGGGUUCCCUCCUACUGUUCUGAACCAAUGACGCAGAUGGCAAGCUCUAGGAAACAGAUCAGUGAACUGAGGCCCAAAGAAGCAAAGAAACUUACCGAGGGUCACACAAAUCAACAAGAGGAGCUGGGAUUUGCACACGUUUUCUUAGGGCCAUAAAGUUGCCUACCUAGAAGUCGAGCUAGCAUGCUGAGGGUGACAGCAAAAACUGGUGGAAAGAAUGUGAGUUGGCCAUGCUGGUUUGCACACCAAAUUAAUCCCCUUGGAAACCCUCCAUCAUACAUCCCACGUCAGGUAAGACAUAGAACAUGGUGGUACUUACUGUUGAAGCCAUUGGGGUUAGAUUUUCUGUUAUUGGCAGCCAAGAAAUCCUGACAAAUAGAGGCAUAAUUUGGGAACAUUGAGAGAUCAUAGGACCAGAGUUUGGUUCUUCCUAAGGGUUGUUGAUAAUAGGAGAGGAAGAAUAUGACUUGUAUUGAUGUGCAGUUUUGGAAGAUCAUGCCCAUAUUAACAGAAAAAUCCUUAAAGGAGGGAAGUCCUUCCUGUUUCCGUGGCUUGUAUGAGUAUCUUCUGAGGACUCCACUCCUCAAAUGCGGGCAUGCUUACCCUGGGGGACU